rnacentral:rRNA from 1 species
UACGUAGGGGGCAAGCGUUGUCCGGAUUUAUUGGGCGUAAAGAGCGUGUAGGCGGCUUGGUAGGUCUCGCGUCAAAACCUGAGGCUCAACCUCAGUUCGCGUGGGAAACCACCUAGCUAGAGUCCGGAAGAGGAGAACGGAAUUCCCAGUGUAGCGGUGAAAUGCGCAGAUAUUGGGAAGAACACCAGUGGCGAAGGCGGCUCACUGGCCCGGUACUGACGCUGAGGUGCGAAAGCGUGGGGAGCAAACAGG